rnacentral:rRNA from 1 species
AAUGAACGUUGGCGGCGUGGAUUAGGCAUGCAAGUCGAGCGAGAAGGUUUAAAAAGAUACUUCGGUUGAUUUUUAAGCUGGAAAGCGGCGAAAGGGAGAGUAACGAGUAGAUACGUACCCAAGGGUUCGGAAUAGCUGCGGGAAACUGCAGGUAAUGCCGAAUAAUGUCUCCGGACCAAAGGUUUACUGCCCUUGGAGCGGUCUGCUUACUAUUAGCUUGUUGGUGGGGUAAAGCCUACCAAGGCGAAGAUGGUUAGCGGGUGUGAGAGCAUGGCCCGUCUCACUGGGACUGAGACACUGCCCAGACACCUACGGUGGCUGCAGUCGAGAAUCUUCCGCAAUGGACGAAAGUCUGACGGAGCGACGCCGCGUGAUGGACGAAGGCCCUCGGGUUGUAAACAUCUGUCGUAGGGAGGAAAUUUUGACCGAUCCUAGGAGGAAGCACAGGCUAAGUUCGUGCCAGCCGCCGCGGUAA